rnacentral:rRNA from 1 species
UACGGAGGAUGCAAGCGUUAUCCGGAUUCAUUGGGUUUAAAGGGUGCGCAGGCGGAUUGUUAAGUCAGGGGUGAAAUCCUACAGCUCAACUGUAGAACUGCCCUUGAUACUGUCAGUCUUGAGUAUAGUUGAAGUGGGCGGAAUGUGUCAUGUAGCGGUGAAAUGCUUAGAUAUGACACAGAACACCGAUCGCGAAGGCAGCUCGCUAAGCUAUAACUGACGCUCAUGCACGAAAGCGUGGGGAUCAAACAGGAUUAGAUACCCUGGUAGUCCACGCUGUAAACGAUGAUUACUCGAUGUUGGCGAUACACAGUCAGCGUCUGAGCGAAAGCAAUAAGUAAUCCACCUGGGGAGUACGAUCGCAAGAUUGAA